GUGCACCGCCUGUGACACAGCCUGGGAUCGAACCCGGGGCUGUAGUUAGACUGCGACCACUUGGGAGGCCCUCGUAUGGAACAGCUCAUGAAACAUGGAACCAACUCUUUACAUGUUGCGGUGAUUUUUUUGUUCAGUAUAUAUCCAAAAGAAAAACCAUUUUAAAACCCCUCUGGAUAUAUUAAAAGUGUGUAGUUAGUUAAUGGCUGCUGGGGUACAGUGGGGGAUGGGAGGAGAGAGAGGGGAAAUGGAUAUCAAGUGUUGAGUUGUGUUGUAUUGUGGUUGUCAUGUGCUGCAGGGGCGGACUGGGACCAGAAAUCGGCCCAGAAAUGUCUAACACACCAGCCCAUUUUGUUCCUUGAGGCUCCCCCAUUAUUAGCCAGAUAAUGCACAUUUUGCACAAAAAAAACCCCUAAGUUAGACAUGCCCACUAGGCUAAAAAAGGACCAGCCCAUGUGGCAUUUGCCCAAAAUGCCAGAUGGCCAGUCAGCCCCUGAUGUGAUGGUAUGUAGUGGUUAUGUGUUGUGAUUGGGUUGCAUUGUGUUAUGUAGUUAUGUAGUGGUUAUGUAGGGGUUAUGUAGGGGUGAUGUAGGGGUUAUGUGUUGUGAUUGGGUUGCAUUGUGUUAUGUAUGGGUUAUGUAGUGGUUAUGUGUUGUGAUUGGGUUGCAUUGUGUUAGGUUGUUAUGUAGUGGUUAUGUAGGGGUUAUGUAGUGGUUAUGUAGUAGUUAUGUAGUGGUUAUGUAGUGGUUAUGUGUUGUGAUUGGGUUGCAUUGUGUUAUGUAGUUAUGUAGGGGUUAUGUAGUGGUUAUGUAGGGGUUAUGUGUUGUGAUUGGGUUGUGAUGUUGUAUUAUGGCUGUUCAGUUGUGUAAUACUGAGUAUUGUUAUCAUAUUCAGUCAUUUCUGUGGAGUAGAGCAGG
ensembl:lncRNA